rnacentral:rRNA from 1 species
CCAGACUCCUACGGGAGGCAGCAGUGAGGAAUAUUGGUCAAUGGCCGGAAGGCUGAACCAGCCAAGCCGCGUGAAGGACGAAGGUGCCAAGCAUUGUAAACUUCUUUUGUCAAGGGACAAAAUCAGGCUCGAGAGCCUGACCGAGGGUACUUGAAGAAAAAGCAUCGGCUAACUCCGUGCCAGCAGCCGCGGUAAUACGGAGGAUGCGAGCGUUAUCCGGAUUUAUUGGGUUUAAAGGGUGCGUAGGCGGAUUUUUAAGUCAGCGGUAAAAUGUCCGGGCUCAACCCGGGCCGGCCGUUGAAACUGGGGAUCUUGAGUGGGCGAGAAGUAUGCGGAAUGCGUGGUGUAGCGGUGAAAUGCAUAGAUAUCACGCAGAACUCCGAUUGCGAAGGCAGCAUACCGGCGCCCGACUGACGCUGAGGCACGAAAGCGUGGGUAUCGAACAGGAUUAGAUACCCGAGUA